rnacentral:rRNA from 1 species
CCUACGGGUGGCAGCAGUAGGGAAUUUUCGUCAAUGGGCGCAAGCCUGAACGAGCGAUGCCGCGUGAGUGAAGAAGGCCUUCGGGUCGUAAAGCCCUGUUGCGGGGGAAAAAAGGCAGCAUCAGGAAAUGGGUGCUGACGGAUGGUGCCCCGCCAGAAAGUCAAGGCUAACUACGUGCCAGGAGCCGCGGUAAUACGUAGGUGGCGUGCGUUAUCCGGAAUGGUUGGGCGGAAAGGGUGCGCGGGCGGUCCUGCAAGUCUGGAGUUAAACGCAUGAGCUCAAAUCAUGCAUGGCUUUGGAAACUGGAGGACUGGAGAGCAGGAGAGGGCGGUGGAACUCCAUGUGUAGCGGUAAAAUGCGUAGAUAUAUGGAAGAACACCAGUGGCGAAGGCGGCCGCCUGGCCUGUUGCUGACGCUGAGGCACGAAAGCGUGGGGAGCAAAUAGGAUUAGAUACCCCUGUAGUC